GACGAACGCUGGCGGCGUGCCUAAUACAUGCAAGUAGAACGCUGAAGGAGGAGCUUGCUUCUCUGGAUGAGUUGCGAACGGGUGAGUAACGCGUAGGUAACCUGCCUGGUAGCGGGGGAUAACUAUUGGAAACGAUAGCUAAUACCGCAUAAGAGUAGAUGUUGCAUGACAUUUGCUUAAAAGGUGCAAUUGCAUCACUACCAGAUGGACCUGCGUUGUAUUAGCUAGUUGGUGAGGUAACGGCUCACCAAGGCAACGAUACAUAGCCGACCUGAGAGGGUGAUCGGCCACACUGGGACUGAGACACGGCCCAGACUCCUACGGGAGGCAGCAGUAGGGAAUCUUCGGCAAUGGACGGAAGUCUGACCGAGCAACGCCGCGUGAGUGAAGAAGGUUUUCGGAUCGUAAAGCUCUGUUGUAAGAGAAGAACGAGUGUGAGAGUGGAAAGUUCACACUGUGACGGUAUCUGACCAGAAAGGGACGGCUAACUACGUG
rnacentral:rRNA from 1 species